UACAGAGGUCUCAAGCGUUGUUCGGAUUUAUUGGGCGUAAAGGGCGCGUAGGCGGCCAUUCAAGUGACGGGUGAAAUCCCUCGGCUUAACCGAGGAACUGCCUGUCAGACUGGAUGGCUUGAGACCGGGAGAGGUGAGUGGAAUUCCCAGUGUAGCGGUGAAAUGCGUAGAUAUUGGGAGGAACACCAGUGGCGAAGGCGGCUCACUGGACCGGAACUGACGCUGAGGCGCGAAAGCGUGGGGAGCAAACAGG
rnacentral:rRNA from 1 species